GGAUCUCUUACAGCUGCUAUUUGUUCCUCUCAACUUCUCACAGAGAGUUCUUAAGUUUUGUGCUGGGACAACUUGGGUACACAGAACUGAUUUACCUAGAAAAAAAGAUUUUACAACAGAGCGCUGGACAGAAUGGUGAAUGGAAUCCUCCUACAAUACCAACAAAAAGGACAAUAAGGAUCCUAUCUAACACACAGUCAGCUGGAUACUGACAGUUCAAAAAAAAAAAGUGUGAAGUGACAUAAAACAAGAACAGCUGCAUGCUCUGAACCUUCAGCCAACAGUCAAGUACAAGUGACUUCACCCUUGCAGGAGUCCCCUGGGCAGAGGACAAAUGUAGCAGUGAAUGAAGACAGACAAGACUAACAAUGCUGACAGUUUUGCCAGACCUCAAGCAAUAUUACUGGAAUUUACUUCAGCCUUCAAACAGCAGGUACCUGAAAGCUUGCUGUUCUGCUCAUGCUUCCCAUGGAAGUCUUCAGCCUGAUGAGGGUGCUGUUCAUCAUAGUGAGACUUCAAAACUGUCUCCAUCAUAAAACAAA